CCUCCCCUACCUGGGACAGUGGUAUAACAAUACAACAUAAGAAUACAUGUAUAGUACACAAUAAGUUGGAGCAGUUGUUCAAUUUAUACAUAUAACGUGUUUUUGUUCUCAUAUGCACAUGAUAUUUGUCACUGGACGUUAAACUCUAAUUCGUCAGCAUCAUCCAAUUGUUUCUUUUCUUCUAUUACUUGAUCAUAUGUUGUUUACAAAUCAUUCUAAAGUAGUAAAUGGAAAGGAGCGAAUGUAGCUACAUUUGGUUAUCUUAAGUUUUAAUUCAUUUUAUUCCGUUUAGUUCCUUUCUACAUAAGUGCAGAGGAGAACUGCAGUUGUCCGCAUGUAAACUUCUAGCAUUUGUCACCAAUUCGAGUACAUCGCAAUCCGUUACUGUUUCAACACCCAGGGGUGUUUCAUGUCUGUAUUCUUUAACAAUUAUUAUGUUUUCUCUCUUUUUUAGAAAUGCAGCACUCUCUACUGUCCUUAUCUAUUAUUCUAUAUUCUGCGUCUCCAUCCAGAUUCUCGUGUAUACCAUGAGGGUCCGCAUUGGAAGUGUUGUUUAUUUCUGUAUUCUUUAAAUUGUUAUGCCACUUUUCUCUACAUUUUAUUUAUCUUACUCAUUAUUCUUUCUCUAUUCUUUAUAUUCUAGCAUCCCAAUAUAUUUUUUACUUACUGAUGUUUAGUUACAUUACGACGUUUAUCUCUGAUUUGUAUACUUGUUACCAAUGUAGAUGACUUUUGAACAGAAUCCACAAGAUAAAUGCG
rnacentral:lncRNA from 1 species